rnacentral:rRNA from 1 species
UACGUAGGGGGCAAGCGUUGUCCGGAUUCAUUGGGCGUAAAGAGCGUGUAGGCGGCCAGGUAGGUCGGUUGUGAAAACUGGAGGCUCAACCUUCAGACGUCGACCGAAACCAUCUGGCUAGAGUCCGGGAGAGGAGAGUGGAAUUCCUGGUGUAGCGGUGAAAUGCGCAGAUAUCAGGAAGAACACCAAUGGCGAAAGCAGCUUUCUGGGACGGUACUGACGCUGAGAUGCGAAAGCGUGGGGAGCGAACAGG